UGUUUUGAGUGUAAUUACCAGAUCCACCAGUCGACUACUUAUAUCCAUAACCCAUUAUAUAUUUCACCAUAGAAACUGGAACAAGACAGUAAAAUGCAUAUAUUUUAAUAUCAAUCCAAACUUUCCAAGUAGAUUUUUUUUAAAGAAAAGGGGAAACUGAAGCAUUACAUCGUGGAACCAACUUUGAGCUUUUUUUUGGGGGGGGGGGGGUCUGUGUUGUACGUGGGACAUAUUUGGGAGACGGACCGUCGCUAGGCAACAGUCCCGAAACGCGAUUGAGAGAACAAAGGAUUCCUGAAACUUCAAGGGAGGUGCACCGUUCCUGGAGGUACUGCAAUACCAGGUCGAUGCGUGGAGUGGACGGAGCAAGCCCCUAUUCCAUCUCCCUGUUCCAAAAAUCAAUUUAAUAUAUGGUCCCCAGAUAGGGGACGUAUCAGAUAUUAAACUGAUAAGAACAGAUACUACACUUGAUCUUAGCCAAAAGGCCGAGAAGCGAUACCCGCAAUGCUUUCGGGAGGAAGUCGCCGUUCUCCGACACGUCAAAUUCGAUUAUGGUUACACCAAAAAAUGAGCUCGAGCCUUGUAUGAUCAGGCCAUUGUGAGGAGGUCUUCAUAAAGUGUCCCUCCUAAAUUACUAGAUGCCAAACUUCAAAGAUGUCCACAGCACUGGACUGCAGUGAGAGAGCCAGGCCUACAGUACGGCCUAAGGACUGGCUUAUGGUCCUGGCUGCCUGAAUGUUUCCUCCACAUAAUAAACUAACAAACACAGCACUGGACUGCAGUGAGAGAGCCAGGCCUACAGUACGGCCUAAGGAGCGGGCCUGGCUUAUGGUCCUGGCUGCCUGAAUGUUUCCUCCACAUAACAAACACAGCACUGGACUGCAGUGAGAGAGCCAGGCCUACAGUACGGCCUAAGGAGCGGGCCUGGCUUAUGGUCCUGGCUGCCUGAAUGUUUCCUCCACAUAACAAACACAGCACUGGACUGCAGUGAGAGAGCCAGGCCUACAGUACGGCCUAAGGAGCGGGCCUGGCUUAUGGUCCUGGCUGCCUGAAUGUUUCCUCCACAUAACAAACACAGCACUGGACUGCAGUGAGAGAGCCAGGCCUACAGUACGGCCUACGGAGCGGGCCUGGCUUAUGGUCCUGGCUGCCUGAAUGUUUCCUCCACAUAACAAACUAACAAACACAGCACUGGACUGCAGUGAGAGAGCCAGGCCUACAGUAUGGCCUAAGGACUGGCUUAUGGUCCUUACUGCCUGAAUGUUUCCUCCACAUAACAAACUAACAAACACAGCACUGGACUGCAGUGAGAGAGCCAGGCCUACAGUACGGCCUACGGAGCGGGCCUGGCUUAUGGUCCUGGCUGCCUGAAUGUUUCCUCCACAUAACAAACACAGCACUGGACUGCAGUGAGAGAGCCAGGCCUACAGUACGGCCUACGGAGCGGGCCUGGCUUAUGGUCCUGGCUGCCUGAAUGUUUCCUCCACAUAACAAACUAACAAACACAGCACUGGACUGCAGUGAGAGAGCCAGGCCUACAGUAUGGCCUAAGGACUGGCUUAUGGUCCUGGCUGCCUGAAUGUUUCCUCCACAUAAUAAACUAACAAACACAGCACUUUGGAGGCUUACUCAGUCACUACAACAAACUUCAUAAAAUGCCAUUAGGCCUAAUGAAGAUACUAUAUAUAUAUAUAUGUAAGUUACUUGAUUGGUGUCUUGUGAAUCAACCUGUAUGCGCAUUAGGAUUGAAUAUUUCCCCGGGAUUAUAGGAUAAUAAAUCACUUUUCUCCCAGGUAACCUGGUAGUUUCCACCCAAACUGGAAGUGUCAUUCAAAAGCAUUAUAAGGUAUAUAAAUGUGUGGAUUUGAUGAGAGCUUUGAUCAGCAUGAACAUUAUAAUCUGAUGCUACCUGAGCCUAAUGAGACAUAUAAUAAAUACAUUUUAUGAGCCC
rnacentral:lncRNA from 1 species